rnacentral:misc_RNA from 1 species
AAGUCGUAACAAGGUUUCCGUAGGUGAACCUGCGGAAGGAUCAUUAAAAAAAUGAUGAAUGUCGGGGGGCGUCUGUCGCUCUCCGUGUAUUCAACCAACCCGCUCUUGUAUUUGGAUCAACCGAAAAUUAACAAAAAUACUUAUAAUAAAAAUAAACUUUCAACAACGGAUCUCUUGGCUCUC